UACGUAGGGGGCAAGCGUUGUCCGGAUUUAUUGGGCGUAAAGAGCUCGUAGGUGGUUCGGUAAGUCGGAUGUGAAAUCUCCAGGCUCAACCUGGAGGGGUCAUUCGAUACUGCCGUGACUAGAGUUCGGUAGGGGAGUGUGGAAUUCCUGGUGGAGCGGUGAAAUGCGCAGAUAUCAGGAGGAACACCCGUGGCGAAGGCGGCACUCUGGGCCGAUACUGACACUGAGACGCGAAAGCGUGGGGAGCGAACAGG
rnacentral:rRNA from 1 species